rfam:Stegodyphus mimosarum contig3933, whole genome shotgun sequence.
GUCUUCGUGGUGUAGUAGUCAGCACUCUCGGCGCGUAUUCGAGAAGUCCGUGGUUCGAAUUCCGGCAAGGGCA